AUACUUACCUGGCAGGGGAAAUACCAUGAUCAGGAAGGUGGUUUUCCCAGGGCUAGGCUUAUCCAUUGCACUCCAGAUGUGCUGACCCCUGUGAUUUUUUCCAAAUGCAGGGAAACUCGACUGCAUAAUUUGUGGUAGUGGGGGGCUGUGUUCAUGCUCUCUCCUG
ensembl:snRNA Gm25587 predicted gene, 25587